UCCCGUAGGUGAACCUGCGGAGGGAUCAUUG
rnacentral:rRNA from 2 species